CUAUUUUGACUUUAUAUUAGCUUGCGACAUAUAGUUUCAGUUUUGUUCUUACAAGGAGUUUGCUCCAAUAGUUGUGAUUAAAGGAGAAGAGUACGCUGAGAGUUUAAUAGUCGGUAGAGUGAGUGUACCCCCUCCAACUAUACGAGAAUGAGUGUCCAUAGGGCUCUGCUCCUCUCUCUAUUUUCUGCUCCUUUCAAGCUCUAAAUCUAGGGGCUUUAGCACUGUUUGACAGGUUGGAUGGUCUCUCGAAGGCGUUUUCCAUAUGCUUUGGCUGAUGAACUUGAUCCAAUCGCACUAAGGAUAGGGAGAUAUGUCCGGCUUCCUCAGAAACUUCCGUCUCUGGAUCUUGACAGCGAUGCUACCAUGGCCGGUGCUUUUCUUUUGUCGAUGGGCAUUGUAGCUUGCUCUUGCCUUUUCACAUGGGGUUACCAUUUUGGGGACUCCCUUUAGGCGAAAACAUCGUGUGUGGUCCUUAUGAAAGCUUCAGACUAUUAUAAUGGUUAGAUAAAUCAGUUUUUUUGAGUCUUGGACCCCUUUAUAAUGGUUAUAAAAAUUUUUU
rnacentral:misc_RNA from 1 species